GACGAACGCUGGCGGCGUGCUUAACACAUGCAAGUCGAACGGUAAGGCCCUUUCGGGGGUACACGAGUUGCGAACGGGUGAGUAACACGUGGGUGAUCUGCCCUGCACCUUGGGAUAAGCCUGGGAAACUGGGUCUAAUACCGGAUAGGACUACGCGAUGCAUGUCGUGUGGUGGAAAGCUUUUGCGGUGUGGGAUGGGCCCGCGGCCUAUCAGCUUGUUGGUGGGGUGAUGGCCUACCAAGGCGACGACGGGUAGCCGGCCUGAGAGGGUGUCCGGCCACACUGGGACUGAGAUACGGCCCAGACUCCUACGGGAGGCAGCAGUGGGGAAUAUUGCACAAUGGGCGCAAGCCUGAUGCAGCGACGCCGCGUGGGGGAUGACGGCCUUCGGGUUGUAAACCUCUUUCACUAGGGACGAAGCGUGAGUGACGGUACCUAGAGAAGAAGCACCGGCCAACUACGUGCCAGCCGCCGCAGUAAUAC
rnacentral:rRNA from 1 species